rnacentral:rRNA from 1 species
UGCCUCAAACAUGCAAGUCGUACGCGAAAGUUCCUUCGGGAAUUAGUAGAGUGGCGCACGGGUGCGUAACACGUAGCUAACUUACCUCCUCGCUGGGGACAACUCCGGGAAACCGGAGCUAAUACCGAAUGAUCUGAAAGAGUCUGCGGACUUUUUCGGUAAAGGCGCAAGCCGCGAGGGGAUAGGGCUGCGGCCCAUUAGCUAGUUGGUAGGGUAAUGGCCUACCAAGGCUACUAUGGGUAGCUGGUCUGAGAGGAUGAUCAGCCACACUGGAACUGGAACACGGUCCAGACUCCCACGGGAGGCAGCAGUUGGGAAUAUUGCACAAUGGGGGAAACCCUGAUGCAGCAAUCCCGCGUGAGGGAUGUUUGCCUUCGGGUCGUAAACCUC